rnacentral:rRNA from 1 species
GAUAAACGCUAGCGGCAGGCUUAACACAUGCAAGUCGAGGGGCAGCAUAGAUUGUAGCAAUACAAUUGGUGGCGACCGGCGCACGGGUGCGUAACGCGUAUGCAACCUACCCGUCACAGGGGGAUAAUCCGGAGAAAUCUGGUCUAAUACCCCAUAACAUAUGGAUCGGCAUCGGUUCAUGUUGAAAUUUUCGGAGGUGACGGAUGGGCAUGCGUAGCAUUAGCUUGUUGGUGAGGUAACGGCUCACCAAGGCGACGAUGCUUAGGGGGACUGAGAGGUUUUCCCCCCACACUGGAACUGAGACACGGACCAGACUCCGACGGGAGGCAGCAGUGAGGAAUAUUGGUCAAUGGGCGCAAGCCUGAACCAGCCAUGCCGCGUGCAGGAUGACGGCUCUAUGAGUUGUAAACUGAUUUUGUACGAGGGUAAAGUGGGUUACGUGUAACCUUUUGAAAGUAUCGUACGAAUAAGGAUCGGCUAACUCCGUGCCAGCCGCCGCAGUAA